CGUUCUAUGGCCAAAUUGGUAAAGGCAUUGCGAGGAUGCGGGUUCGAGUCCUGCUGGAAAGG
rnacentral:tRNA from 1 species